rnacentral:rRNA from 1 species
UACGUAGGGGGCAAGCGUUGUCCGGAUUUAUUGGGCGUAAAGAGCGUGUAGGCGGUUCGGUAGGUCCGUUGUGAAAACUCGAGGCUCAACCUCGAGACGCCGAUGGAAACCCUCGAACUAGAGUCCGGAAGAGGAGAGUGGAAUUCCGGGUGGAGCGGUGAAAUGCGUAGAGAUCCGGAGGAACACCGACGGCGAAGGCAGCCUUCUGGAAAGUACCUGACGCUGAGGGCGAAAGCUAGGGGAGCGAACGGGAGUUAGAAACCC